UACGAAGGGGGCUAGAGUUGCUCGGAAUCACUGGGCGUAAAGCGCACGUAGGCGGAUUGUUAAGUCAGGGGUGAAAUCCUGGAGCUCAACUCCAGAACUGCCUUUGAUACUGGCGAUCUCGAGUCCGGGAGAGGUGAGUGGAACUGCGAGUGUAGAGGUGAAAUUCGUAGAUAUUCGCAAGAACACCAGUGGCGAAGGCGGCCCACUGGCCCGGUACUGACGCUGAGGUGCGAAAGCGUGGGGAGCAAACAGG
rnacentral:rRNA from 1 species